CCUACGGGAGGCAGCAGUAGGGAAUCUUUCACAAUGGGCGAAAGCCUGAUGGAGCAACGCCGCGUGCAGGAUGAAGGCCUUCGGGUUGUAAACUGCUUUUAUAAGCGAGAAAUAUGAUGGUAACUUAUGUAUAAGGAUCGGCUAACUACGUGCCAGCAGCCGCGGUCAUACGUAUGAUCCGAGCAUUAUCCGGGGUGACUGGGUGUAAAGAGUUGCGUAGGUGGCAUAAUAAGUAGCUAGUGAAAUCUGGUGGCUCAACCAUUCAGACUAUUAGUUAAACUGUCAAGCUUGAGACCGUUAGGGGUAACUGGAAUUUCUAGUGUAGGAGUGAAAUCCGUAGAUAGUAGAAGGAACACCAGUGGCGUAGGCAGGUUGCUGGGACGGUUCUGACACUAAGGCACGAAAGCGUAGGGAGCAAACGGGAUUAGAUACCCCUGUAGUC
rnacentral:rRNA from 1 species